rnacentral:rRNA from 1 species
CGGCAGCGCGGGGUAACCUGGCGGCGAGUGGCGAACGCAGUGAGUAAUACAUCGGAACGUGCCCUGUGAUGGGGGAUAACUACGCGAAAGCGUAGCUAAUACCGCAUACGACCUACGGGUGAAAGUGGGGGAUCGCAAGACCUCACGUCAUAGGAGCGGCCGAUGGCGGAUUAGCUAGUUGGUGAGGUAAAGGCUUACCAAGGCAACGAUCCGUAGCUGGUCUGAGAGGACGACCAGCCACACUGGGACUGAGACACGGCCCAGACUCCUACGGGAGGCAGCAGUGGGGAAUCUUGGACAAUGGGGGCAACCCUGAUCCAGCAAUGCCGCGUGUGGGAUGAAGGCCUUCGGGUUGUUAA